rnacentral:rRNA from 1 species
GACGAACGCUGGCGGCGUGCUUAACACAUGCAAGUCGAACGGAAAGGCCCUGCUUUUGUGGGGUGCUCGAGUGGCGAACGGGUGAGUAACACGUGAGUAACCUGCCCUUGACUUUGGGAUAACUUCAGGAAACUGGGGCUAAUACCGGAUAGGAGCUCCUGCUGCAUGGUGGGGGUUGGUAAGUUUCGGCGGUUGGGGAUGGACUCGCGGCUUAUCAGCUUGUUGGUGGGGUAGUGGCUUACCAAGGCUUUGACGGGUAGCCGGCCUGAGAGGGUGACCGGCCACAUUGGGACUGAGAUACGGCCCAGACUCCUACGGGAGGCAGCAGUGGGGAAUAUUGCACAAUGGGCGGAAGCCUGAUGCAGCAACGCCGCGUGCGGGAUGACGGCCUUCGGGCUGUAAACCGCUUUCGCCUGUGACGAAGCGUGAGUGACGGUAAUGGGUAAAGAGGCACCGGCUAACUACGUG